rnacentral:rRNA from 1 species
GAAUAUUGGUCAAUGGAGGGAACUCUGAACCAGCCAUGCCGCGUGUGUGAAGAAGGUCUUCGGAUUGUAAAGCACUAUAAGUUGGGAGGAAGGGCGGUAAGCGAAUACCUUGCUGUUUUGACGUUACCGACAGAAUAAGCACCGGCUAACUCUGUGCCAGCAGCCGCGGUAAUACAGAGGGUGCAAGCGUUUAACGGAAUUACUGGGCGUAAAGCGCGCGUAGGUGGUUCGUUAAGUUGGAUGUGAAAUCCCCGGGCUCAACCUGGGAACUGCAUCCAAAACUGGCCAGCUAGAGUAGGGCAGAGGGUGGUGGAAUUUCCUGUGUAGCGGUGAAAUGCGUAGAUAUAGUAAGGAACACCAGUGGCGAAGGCGACCACCUGGGCUCAUACUGACACUGAGGUGCGAAAGCGUGGGGAGCAAACAG